AUAUUUACAAACGUCCUUUGGUACUUGGAAUUUGUUGGUUUCGCUGUUUUAUUAGUAUUGUUCUUCUGUUUGGUAAUGUACUUAGCUAAACUAAAUUACAUGACUUAUAAUACUAGCCAUGACUAUUUAAAAAAAUAUAUGGCUGACGGCACUUGGCUGCUUCAGUCAUAAAUAAAGUUAAUGCAAACAAAACGAGACAUCGGCUAUGAACUUAGUAAACCAAAGAAACAUCAAAUUACCCAGCAUCAUUAUGUCGUCAUUGAACCACCUGAACCAUCAACAUCAGCACGCCAAAGACCUCUUUGUUGUGAAAUGGACUGCAUAUGGUGUGUUAGACUGGUCUUCAGCAUUCUAACAGUGGCCAUCUGUUAUUACUUCGCUUAUACCCUAAUCUCUGACA